CGCAAAUGCUAAGCAUUGGAAAAGCAUUGGAUUGGCCUUCAACGUUGCGUCCGUCGAUGUUUAAAGGAUCACAUCAGUUCAUGGGACCGCCUUUAUUGCCAACUGUCCGUCGAAUUUCUAAGUAAUAGUCAGAGAAGUUGGUGAUCCGUCAAUGCAAAGUAUGGAAUAAGGAGCAGGUACAAAAAAAUCACCUACGCAAGUUCUUACACGGUUUUAACGACGUUUACCAGUGGGCAAUAAUGCCUAUGGCAUGGUGAGCUAUGGCUUCCCGUCAAUGUGUUCGAUGGGCAAGUGAACCUUCAUCAAAUGGCGGCAGAUCGCUUAAAAGACAUUUUCGGCUGUUCAUCGACUGGCAACAGACGAUCUGUCUAAGCUGUGGUCGGCAUUCUCGCGUAAACCCCUAGUAACAUUGGAAGGUAUUUGAAUAGCUUUUAUUUUGCUCAGCUGGGCCAGUGACCCAUAAAGACAAGUUAAAGACACAAUCGAGUCGAAUGAAUUUUUGA